GGAUGACAUGGUGGUGAGUAAAUUAUCUGGAUUUUUUGACUUUUUUAUUAAGAAAACGGACUAAUCUUUUAAGAAAAUCUCUUCAUUUAUUCUCAUUUGUCAAUGAGAUACAACUGAAAAAUCAAGUCCUUUAUAAAUAGAUUUAGGAUUACAGGUUGAGACACAAACAAUGUUUCGGUCAUGCAGGACCUUCCUCAUUGUUCUCCAGAAGGUUCUGUAUCACCAAAAUCUCUCUCUCUCUCUCUCUCUCUCUCUCUCUCUCUCUCUCUCUCUCAUGUAUGUUGCCUGUGCUCACUACUGGAACACUUCCUAAUGGAGUUUGGCCAAUAUCUUGAUCGCAAACAAUCUUUCGCAGGUCAUCUGAGGUUUUAUUUAUGCAAUAACUACUACAGUAAUUCAGGGUUUGGUCUCCUGGAGGUCUUUCCUGCAUCGGCUUCCUCUGACCAGCUGAAGGAAAGAACAUUGGGUCAUUAUCACAGGGAAUAAAGCCACCGGGCGAGAGACACAAACAGCGAGAGAGGAGGGACUGUUGGGAAUGCUUUUCCCGGUCUCUGGAAUGCAGUCCAGUUGCUGAAUAAUACAACGAAAACACUGACCUACUUUUACACACUGGGAACAUGCAAGAUGGAAAACCUGGAGUGGAACAUGAGGGGAGCUGGAUGGGAAAGACGGAGGCGAGACUUACAGCAGGGUGGAUGAAAGACAGAAGACUGGAUGAGGAAUCUCUGUGACGGAUCUGCAUACAAAACCAUGCUUACUGAUGACACUUAAAACAUCUUUACAAGCUUAUUUUAAUGUAGUAAGAAAAUGAAAUACUGCUCACAAGUCUGUAUAGAGACAGAAAGAGAGUGCAGCAAAAAUUAUUACAAUGCAGAAACACUUUAUCAUUUACAUUUCUGCGUAGGAGGAAAGACCAAACGUGGUAAAAAAAUCCUCUUAUAUAUUUUUAAUCAGAUGUAUUGCUGUUUAGGGGAGGAUACUGAUUAUGUAUUAUGUCACUGAUUGUGAUUGUGAGGUUUUUUUUAUUUGCUCUUUAUACCCGAUGAAGGUCAUGGGACCAAAACGUUGUGAUUAGGGUUUCCACAAAAUAUAAAUUUAAUAUAACCUAAUUUCUCAGAGAUCCCCGAAUGAUUGACGCAAAGCCGUUCAAAGAUUCAGUCUGUCAAAACCACGCCUACUCUGCUCUGAUUGGUCCACUGACACAGUCAGUUUUGAUUGCUUUAAAGGUGCAGUGUGUAAAUUUUAGCAGCAUCUAGUGGUGAGGUUGUAAAUUGCAACCGACGGCUCAGUCCACUGCUCACCCCUCGCUUUUGAAACGCAUAGAGAAGCUACAGUAGCUGCCACCGGAAAAACAUGUCGUUGACGGAGACAACUUAAUUAAAAAGUUUGUCCGUUAAGGGCUUCUGUUGAAUCAUGGCGGCACAAAAUGGCGACUUCCACGUAAGGGGUCCCACAGUGUAUGUAGAUAAAAACGUCUCAUUCUAAGGUUAUAAAAACAUAACAGUUCAUUAUAAAAAAUGUCUUUAUACACCCCUGCUAAUAUAGUUUUGUAUAUUAUUUAGCAUUUCUGUCAACAGAUCCUUUUAAAAAUUACACACUGCACCUUUAACCUAGUGCUAACGUGACUUACUGAUAAGACAUUAGAGUUUAAAAACAUUACAUUUCGUUUAUCAUUAAUCC